rnacentral:rRNA from 1 species
UACGUAGGGGGCAAGCGUUGUCCGGAUUUAUUGGGCGUAAAGGGUGCGUAGGCGGCGUGGUAAGUCGGGUGUGAAAUCUCGGAGCUUAACUCCGAAACUGCAUUCGAUACUGCCGUGCUUGAGGACUGGAGAGGAGACUGGAAUUUACGGUGUAGCGGUGAAAUGCGUAGAUAUCGUAAGGAAGACCAGUGGCGAAGGCGGGUCUCUGGACAGUUCCUGACGCUGAGGCACGAAGGCCAGGGGAGCAAACGGG